rnacentral:lncRNA from 1 species
AUGGUGGUGGUGGUAAUGGAAUUAAAUCAAAUGUAGGUGGUGGUGUAAUUGGAGGUGGUAUUGAAGGAGGAGACAUUAUAGGUGAAUGAAAAUUUGGUGGAAAUGUUGAAGGUGGAGGAAUUGGAGGUGCAUGAAAAAACGGUGGAAAUGUUGAAGGUGGAGGAGACAUUGGAGGUGCAUGAAAAAACGGUGGAAAUGUUGAAGGUGAAAGAGACAUCGGAGGUCCAUGAAAAAACGGUGGAAACAAUACAAGAGGUGGCAGAGGAGGGAGUUGUGGUAAAGGAGGGAGCUGUGGUAAAGGAGGGAGUCCUGGAAGAGGUGGAAGAUAGCCUUGAUUAAU